rnacentral:lncRNA from 1 species
GAUCAGUGCCGCUGGGGAAGUUGGCUAGAGUCCUCGAGAACGGAAAUCCCUCAAACGGAUCCCAUAUGUCGAGAGAGAAAGGAUCGAAGAUAUUGCUUCGCCGGCCGCCGAAGAUGCUCGGAACCAAAGCCAUCAGAAUUUUGCAAGAGAUUUGUGCUCUGGACUAUUUGGUUUGAGGACUUGACUGGAUUUACCUAAGGCAAUGACUAAUUCUGUCUGAGGGUGGAAGGCAUCAAGAAGUGAAGAGCUAUAUAUACAAGGGACAGAUGAUGAUCCGGUAUUGUCUAGAAUAUUCUUAUCGCACCAAAAAAAUGGAAAAAGUCUCGUCACUUUCCACAAACUUCCACGAGCUUCGAGAUUUUGGUUUCACUACUCCACCAGAACGGUGUCCACGUGUCUCCAGAGAUAUCUGUUGAUAGUGUAUCUCAAUAUAUUUGGGCUUAUGGUUUGUUGUUGAGCGGCGACCACUUAAUUAGAAGAGGCCCAAUGGAUUGUCGAUGGAAGCAACACAAGCCCGACAUAAGGUGAAAUAAGCCCGACAUAACUCUCUCUCUCUCUCUCUCGAUAUAUAUAUAUAUAUAUAUAUAUGUAUAUAUAAAGCUAGAGAUAUUGAGUAAUUUAGCAAUGACUAAUAUUCACUCUCAACAACCUUAAGAAAAGAUAAAAGUCAUAUUAUCUAUCUAUCUGUAGUAAACUUUGGUAAUCUGCCGAAGUCGUCUUCCCUUGUUGACUUUGCAGACGGGAAAAAUAACAUUGAACUCCCUCAAACUGCCGUUUCAUUGGGUGAGUAACGAGCCACAGAAAACUAUUAGCUCAAAUUUGGUGACUGGUGGUGAGCAUGCAAAAUCACAACACAGACACGGGGGUACGAAAUUUUGGUAUUAGGACGGGUUUUAACUCAAACGUUCAAAUUUCUUGAGAGAAUGAAUGAAGCCAAUUAACUAUAAAAAAAUGCUCUAUAUGCAGCUACAAAUCAUGCGACAAUCAACGCACCCCUCCCUGCAUGACAAAUAGCUGGUUGAAGCAGGCGGCUGUAUAUUACUAUUUCUUCGGGGGGAGAAAACAAACUGCUUUUUUCGCUAUGUGUAUCCUUCCAUGUAACGCCAACUCGAGUCAUUGAUUCUGAAACAAGACCAUACGGUGGAGAGUUGGAAAUGGGGAACAGUCCAAUAAAACUACAAAUGUCAUUUAAUUUUGUUCAGUUUAUGUGUCCUUGAAGAAAAUUGAUCACGGAAAUUCACCAGCUCAAACUACAUUUUGUCUUAGAAAACUUGAAGAAUUCAUGUCUACACGCACUCGUUCUUGGAAUUUGGUAAUUGUGUAAGUCAUGAGUGCACGAGAUCCUAAGCUGUGAAGCAUCGUGCAUCCACUUAUUUAGUAGUAAAAUCAAAUCAAUUAUCCCUGCCUGAAGCAUCCUUUCAGAUCCUAGUGUACUGAGGCUCCUAAAAGAGGAGAGAACUAGUUAUUGUGAGCAACUACUGCCACGACUUGAAGCUGCAAAAACUGGACGUAGUUAUUACUUUGAAUAUUGUAUAGCGGCGGUUAAAAUCAACAUGUAUUAGUGUUAAAUUUCGACAGUAUCAACUCUUAUGCCCAGAAAUGAGAAACCACCGGGGCAUGUCACUUGCUCAUUUCUCCAAAUAAUAAAACACCGAUGAUGACUGGUUAAUAGUUUCUUCCCAAAGAAUAAAUAAAUAAAUUGGAAAAACAGGACGUAGUUGUUAAUGGCAAUAACUCACUGAUGAGAGACUUCAUGACAUCACACCUCUCGAGAGGCCUCUGAUCAACCAACCGACCAAUGAGAUCUCCUAGUAUUUUAUUAUUAGCAUAAUCAAGGAGGGUUGACUUUGAUCGUUUUAUGAUCAAAAUCAUCAGAGUAUGAGUUGUUUAACCGUUCAACGAUUAGGAUCGUCUGUGUUAAGAGAAACUGAUGUUGCAAAUGGGUUCUGAAAAAGCAAACUUACCACCUCAUGUUCUCAUAUUUCCCUUGCCAAUCCAGGGCCAUGUCAACUCCAUGCUCAGGCUGGCGGAACUUCUUUGUCUCGCUGGAUUAGACGUAACUUACAUUGUCUCCGACUUUUGCCAUAACCGCCUCCUCACGCACACUAAUGUGUCGUCGCAUUUUGCUCGCUAUCCUGGCUUUUCUUUCCAAACCAUAUCCGAUGGGCUUCCAGAUGACCACCCCAGAGCAGGUGAGGGAUUUGUGGAUAUCAUGCCCGCUAUAAAAAUGGUGACAGGGCCGCUAUUUAAGCGGAUGAUGAUCGAGAAAGGUUGCUUUGCUUCUUCUGGUGCCCGAAGUCCUGUUACUUGCAUCAUUGCUGAUGGAGUCUUGAGUUUUGCCGGUGAUUUUGCUGAAGAGAACGGAAUUGCCCUCAUCUAUUUUCGCACCGUUAGCGCCUGCUCAUUUUGGGCCUGCUUUUGUAUGCCUCAAGUCAUUGAAGCUGGAGAAAUACCCCUUAAAGGUAGUGGAGUACAAAAUUUGAUCACGCGUAGAUUUUUACAUCAAAGUGUGUCAUUCAUUGUGUCUAUUGUCGUUGAUAUAUCUAUAUUGACAGAUUUAUCAGGUGCAGCAAGUUUUAGCAUAAAUUAAUUUGGUGUCUGUAUACCCCUUAUUAUCACACCCAAGAGGUUGACGGCACACCCAAAUAUGCAGGACAUGGAAUGGAACUGGCAGUCAAAAGCGUCCCAGGAAUGGAAAAUAUUCUUCGGCGUCGGGACCUGCCUGGUUUUUAUCGUGUCGACGAUCUGGACGACACUACUUUCCAAAUAAUCAAAACGGAGACUCAGCAAACCCCGCGAGCCCAGGCGGUGAUACUGAACACAUUUGAAGACUUAGAGGGACCAAUAUUAUCUCACAUUCGUAAACACAUGCCAAGAUUAUACACAAUCGGACCAAAUCAUUUUCACCUGACGGCCAGGCUGGGAGCAAAAGCAACAGAGACUGAAACUUUAAUUUCUUCAGCCAGUUUAUGGGAAGAAGACAGGAGCUGCUUGGACUGGCUUGAUUCACAGCCUCCAAAAUCGGUAAUUUACGUCAGCUUCGGGAGCAUUACGGUUGUGAGAAGAGAGCAACUCCUGGAAUUUUGGUACGGACUGGUGAAUAGUGGGCAGAGGUUCUUGUGGGUCGUCAGACCUGAUUCCAUUAUGGGAGAAGCCGGCGGAGGUAAGAUUCCAGCCGAGCUAGAAACGGCUACAAAAGCAAGGGGUUAUAUGGUGGGUUGGGCCCCGCAGCUAGAAGUCCUGAAUCAUCCUUCUGUUGGGGGAUUUUUGACCCAUGGUGGUUGGAAUUCGACUCUGGAGAGUAUGGCGGCCGGCGUGCCAAUGUUAUGUUGGCCAUAUUUUGCCGACCAAACGAUCAAUAGCAGGUUUGUGAGUGAAAUUUGGAAGAUUGGAUUGGACAUGAAAGAUACAUGCGACAGAGUCAUCAUCCAGAAAAUGGUGGCAGAACUCAUGCACGCGAGGAAGGAUGAAUUCUUGAGAAGGGCAGAUGCCAUGGCAAAAUUGGCAAGAAAGGCUGUUACUCAAGGUGGUACUUCGUAUAAUAACUUGGACAGCCUCGUUGAGUUUAUUGAAUCUACUAUUAUCUGAAAAGGACAUGGCUUUGAUGUGUUUUUCUUGUUUAAUUUCUUCUUUUUUUUCCUGCAAAUUAAAAUGUUUUCACCAAUAAUGGUGGUAUUCUAAACCAACUGCUUAUGGUUUAUAUUGGAGAUUGAUAAUUUCAUGCUUGCCAUUAAGAGAUUAGAGAUUUUAGGACUAGAGUUUUGGGGGUUGAGUAUGCAACUUGAUGUUAUGUUGAGGAGAAACAGAGAUAUUUCUUCCCUUGUUGCUGGUCAAUGUAACGCUGCUCAAAGAAGAUCUAAGGAACUUGUCAAUGAUGCGUAGCGUUUAGUUGGCGCAUGUCUUCAUUCUCUCUGUUAUUUCCAAGGGGGAAAAUGCCCAAUUUGUCUGUAUUAGUGAUUCAAUCAAAUGUUACUGUCAAUCGCUUUGACCAUAUAAUUGAUUUCGUGGGCCUCGUGUCUUCUUGUUCCCUUCUUUAUUUCCCCACUGAAUUUUGGAGGAAAGGGUUCAAAUCAACUUCCAUCAUCUUACACUGGGUCCUAAAUUUGUGUGUCUCCUUCUUGUUGGAGGAAGAUUUAUUUUGCUAAACAAGCCUUUACAUAGACUUCUACUCCAACAUAUGGAUCGAUGAUGUCCUUAGUUGAGAUCUAAAGUGUACCAUUACACCCAUGGUUCGCCAUAUCCGCCCAUACUGAUACGUAUCGGCAGAGUCGUAAUUGAAACGGAGGUGACCGUUACGAUACCGAUUCCCGAAUCACGGAUAUUACCAUAUCUACGACAAUUCGCUCUGACUAGGCGGAUAUUGGCCGAUUCGAAUCUGUGAUACAUAAUAUCGACCGAUAUAUCUGAGUCAAGUCAGAGUCAAUCCGAAUUUUUUUAAAAAAAUUGUGCAUUGUUUGGUAUUUUCUAAUUUUAACAAUUUUUUCAAAAUUUUUGGAAAUUUUCAUGUGUUAUAAUAUGUGUAUCAUCCGAUAUUCAACUGAUAUACUACAACGGAUGUGGAACAAUUGAAACCGCGACACGAUCGCAACCCGCAAUAACGAACCAUGAUUACACCCAACAUGCCACAGCCAUCCAUGUUUAGGUUCAAUUGUCAUAAAAGAUGAUAAACAAUUAAAUGCAGAGGGAUUUUUAGACUUACCGCAUAGAUAAUAUCCGCAAAACGUUUAGCUACUGUCAGUGUGUAAUGUUUCAACAGAAACAAUAUCCGCGAAACGUUUAUGUUGUAAUUCAUUGUGUUUCAUUAUCUUUCUUUUUUUUUUUUAACCUUUUUCUAUCUCCCAUCCUUUGUUUCAACCCUCAAACACCACUACCAAGCAUGGCGCAGCUCCGGUGCUCCUCCAACCAUAUCAAGACCAUAUUGCCAAAUAAUUUUUUAUGAUGGGAUGUAAAUGAAAUUAAAAAAAUAAUUAAAAAAUGAAAAGAUGAUAAUAAAAUGUGCUUAUGAUAUAAGCAAUAAAUUUUAUGAGAAAAAAAGUUGCUGAAAAAUAAAAAUGUUGUCGAAGACCCCAAAUUUACUUGUUAAUUUUUGCUGCAAACUGCGUCGUGUCCUUGUCAAAACCAUAUUUAUUAAACCCAACCCGGGAAGGAACCCGGCGAAGGGGGUGGGUCAACGGGUUACUGGUUCAACCGGUGGGUGAGUGGUUGAACCGGUGGGUCACUAAAUAUAUUUAAAUAUUAUAUUUCAUAAUUUUUUAUAUAAGAUAUAUGAUAUAAAUUGUAAUAAAUAAUGCCAUAGUAAAAGCUCAUUUAAUUUAAUUUGCUAUAAAAUAAUUAAUUCAUAUAAGAAUCAAUUAAAUAUAAAGUUAUUUAGUAAUACACCAAACUUCAAGUGCAAAAAUUUAUCUAUAUUUAGUGUAAUAAUGUAGCUUAUUUAUGAAUUUUAAGUGUAAAAAAUUAUUAAAUUAAUAUUUGUCUUUGAAAUGAAUUAUGUAAUGUGUUAUUUUUGAAAUUCAUUUUAUAAAUUAUAGAGUUUGGAGGGAACUAAUUUUUAUUAAAAGAUUUCAAAUAAAUUUAUUUUAGAGAAAAAAAAGAUAGAAUUGAAAAAAUAUAUAUAUAUUAUAAUAAAGACAUUUUAUUAACAAAUUUCGGGGCAGUCUAGUGGCAAGCCUACGUUAGUGAUUGGUGGAGGUCCAAGGUUCGAGCCUUGACAAAGGCAAUAAAAUUUUUCCACCAAAACCGGUCCGUGGACAAAACCGGCCGGAUUUUCGGUUUAGCUCGGUCCGACCGCCGGGCCGUUGACUAGUCAACGGUCCCGUUGCUCAAACGAUCCAAUUUAAGACUCAGUCCGGCCUAAUGGCCGGUUCACCGGUUCGACCGUCGGACCGGAUUUAAUAACUAUGAUCAAAACUCUUCUACGAUUUUAUAUUUACAAAAGAUUGUUGUCAAAAUCACAAAGGAAUGGAAAAUAAAGAGCUUCAUGCAAGCUACCACAGUCACCAACCACGAAUCCAGCAGCACUGUCAUAAUUUGCUACUAUGGAAUAAGGGGAAAGUGAAAAGAGAAAGAGAAAGUAAAUAGGAUUGGUAAAGAGAGUGGAGAAAAGGGAGGAAAAAGAACAGGAAAGGAAGGGAGAAAAAGAGGGGGGCUUCAAUGAUAGGUGGAGUUCGGCAUGAUAGCUGCCUUUUCUAUUUCCUUUUUGGUAUCAAAUUCAAUAAUUGGACCACUCUCACCAACUCGGUUUGUAUAGACUUUGAUAGUAAUUAAACCAUAUUUAUAGUCUAUUAAAUUAUACUUAUUUGUAUUCCCAACCAAACAGCUAGCUGGUUCCAUCUAAGCCAUUUUGUUAUUAGAGUAAUAUUUUGCACAAUUAAUGUCCCAAAAACGCAACAAGAAGAACAUAUCUUCAAUUAAUUGUAAACCAUUGUCCAAUUUUUGGACAAGUGAUAUUGCUAUCAAUUAUUUGCAUCUCCACCUAUCAUAUCCAAGGAGCAACUAUCGUGUACCUCGCUCGGUGUCAUUGAUGGACUACCAAUUUGUGAACGAGACAUAACUGUUGGGGAUUGUUUUUCAAAAUCUUUUGUCAAAGAACCAGUACUUAAUUACGUUUGUUUUAUGUAACAAGAAGGAUAUUGACAUAAUUGUUACUUUAUAAGACUAGAUAUCUUUAUCCUAUUGAAAGAAAGUUAACAAAAUAAAGUGUUCUUCCUCACCAUUAAAUGUUGGAUCGCACAUUAUGAUAUUUUAGACAAAGCUUCCAUCCCUAAUGUGUUAUUUCACAAUGAGAAUAGAAGGACACAGGAACUGGAAAGAGAGAUUUGUCCAGCUCUGCCUCUCCCGUUCUGUGCAAGGAUUUGUUUAUGGAGAUAUGGUAGAGGUACAAAAUGAGAUCAGCGACUCACUAACCUAUUGCUCAAGUACAAAAUCCAAUACAACGGUCACAACACUAAUUAGAAGAUCUUUUCAUGUCUAUCGAACCCAAGAUGUUCUAUCUGCAUCGACCAAGUCAAUUUGCCUGUUACCCACCUAAUCUCAUAAAUCUCUUACUCUAAUCUCACCUUAUCACAUAAAUUAAUUUACGUCUACUAGUAAAAAGCAUCAGUUAAACUAAGAAUUCUGCUUGUACAUUUCCCACUGUUUACAUCCAAUUGAUGGCAAACGGCAACUAGAUAUCAUACCAACUGAUGCCAACUAAGCCGAGGACACUAUUAUCACCAACUUCACAGGGCCAGAAAACAACGAAGUGUAGAGAUGGAUCACCAGAUACAAUUCUCCACUCCCCAUGCACUACUAUUCCCUUUACCACUUCAGGGUCUUGUGAAUUGUACGCUCAAGCUAGCUGAACUGUUGUGCCUUGGUGACUUGCAUGUUACCUUCGUCAACACUGACCACAUCCAGGACCGACUGAGAAGUUGCAGCGAUGUUGAAUCACGGUUCGAGCGUUAUCCCAAUUUCAGGUUUCAUACAAUCCCGGAUGGCUUUCCCGAAGAUAGUCCUCGUACGGGUGAUCAAAUUUUUAAGUUACUGGUGUCUUUGAAAGUUGUGAGCCAGCCAAUUUUCAGGGAGAUGUUAACCUUUGGUCCCCUGGUUGUUUUUACAUCAAAUAACCGUUCAAGUCUGUGAUUCAUGUCAGUAGGAAGUCCUGCGGCCAUGACCAAGGAUCAGCUGAUGGAGACUCGGUAUAAUUUAGUCAACAACAGUGGGGCGAGGUUCUUGUGGAUUCAGAUACCGGGGUCUAUAGCUGUAUCAGUAGUAGAGGGGGAUGAGAUUCCUGAGGAAUUGGUUAAAGCAACCGAGGAAAGAAGUUAUAUUGUGGGUUGGGCUCCUCGGGAAGAGGUUUUUGGGCCAUGCUGGAAUUGUUGGGUUUUUGACUCACAGCGGUUGGAACUCAACAACGCUGGAGAGUGUAGCGGAGGGAGUUCCAAAUGAUAGGGUGGCCGUACUUUGUUGACCAACAAGUUAACAGUAGGUAUCUAUCAGAGGUUUGGAAACUUGGAUUGGACGUGAAAGAUACGUGUGAUCGGAUCAUUGUUGAGAAGAUGGUCCGAGAUGUUUUGGAGUUCAGAGAAAGGAUGAAUUCUUGCUAACGGCAAAUGAAAUGGCAAAAAUGGCCAAAUCAAGUAUGAGCGUAGGUAUGAGCCAAGGCGGAUCUUCAGACGAUGACUUGGGCAAUCUGAUUGAGGACAUCAGAUUGAUGCAGUUGAAGGCAUAAACUAUUUUUAGCAUUGCUGAAAUAUGAUGUCAGGACUAAAGUUUGACACGAAACAAGCCAACCUUGAACAAGUUACUGCAGAGAUGGAUCAUUAUUAUGAUAAUGCUUGCGCUUAACCGUUUUGCAAAUAAUACAGAGAUUCAGCCUAUGAAGGUGGACUUGGACGAGUCUGGAGUUUCUUCUUCUUUAUUUCCUAUGCUUCGAGAAGAUGAAUAUGGGACAAAAAUAAAAACAUUUCGAAAGCUAGGCUAUGAGUAUGUCAUCUUUAAACUAAGUUGCAAAAUCCACUCUUGAGUUGACAUCUUUAAGAGGAUGGUGCACGCUACUGGUUAGCAAGAUUGUGUGAUGAAUCGUAUGGUCGUAAACAAGAGGGUAGUUUUCAUUCCAAUCGAUUAGGCGCUUGCCAACAAGUACCGACAUGCAUUCAACCAAUUGGUUUUUAGGCUGUUUAUGUAGAAUAGAAUAUAUGCGAUGUUAUGCUUAUCUGUAUUCUAUUUCAAUUCCAUAGCCAGGCGUAGAGUUUCUUUUGUCUUCUUAUUAUAAUUUUGUAAAACAAAGCACUACAUAGUAUAUACUGUGUACACUUGAGCUAGUUGCAAGCACCAUGCAUGUCAGUCGUCGGAGAUUUUAUCCAAAAGCAAAACACUGGAGAGACAAGAAGGAUGCUUAUCCAAAAGAACACACAAAGAUCAUGGAUAUCUAACAAUGAUGCAUAUUUAGAAAAAGCAGCCAUAUUCCUUGAUGUGUAAGAUAAUGCUUUAACUGCUGUAGACUGCAGAAAUUAAAAGAGGCUGACUGACAAGGGAAUUGAGAUCCCAAGACCAAUUCACCAAUUAAAAACCAUAGGCCACAAAGAUCGAUGGUAGAAAAAUAAUUUCAUGCAUUGUAUCUUCUUUUUUUUUUUUUUUUUUGGCCCUUAACUAUAUGGACGGCAAUCGCAAAACGAUUAUUUUUCCAGUGGUUGAAACUCCAAGGAAUCCACCAUCACAUCAAUCUAUCGUUCUAUUCUUGUAUCAUGAUCAAUUCUCUGGAAAAAUUCAACGUAAUUAUUUAAUAAAGCAAGAAAAAAGCUCUCUAGAUACAUUCAAAUUAAUUGAAAAAAAAAAAUUGAUCUUUCCCCGAUUCGUACGCCAAGCAACUUUUGAAUGAUAAAUAAGUAAAGUAAAUGAAUUGAAUCAAAAUAUUCCUUCUUGAAGUGAUCCCUGAGAUUUCCGGAUACAUCGCGCAGUGUUUAUAUGAAACAGUUUUCUAUCUAUUUCUUUCUUUCUUUAGUUUUUAAAAAAGCGUUUUUCUAUAUGUUUCUUUUAAACAAUUUUAAUUUUUCACCUCUCCUCUUUUAUUAUUUCCUCAAGAUUUUCAAUGAAAGAGAUUGAAAAUUUUAUUCCAUCAUUGCCCUUCUGUUACCCCAAUUAUAAAUUUUGUUCCAGAUUAAAUAUCAAUACAAGCUCAGAUAUACAGCAUGCAAGUGUAGGCAUGUAAGUGUAAUAACAAAGAAAGAAGUAGAAGUCAUGUAGAAGACCAUAGCAAUAGCUAGAAGAUCGUUGCAAUAACAAAGUACAUAUUUAGCAUAGUUCUAUUGUCCACAUUUGAUUAAGAAUAAUUGACAUUAAUAGCAAAAUACAGUUGAGUUUCAUCAAAUUUCAGUGUCAGGAAGUAGCUUCAUUGGCAUUCACCAUCGGUUUAUUUUCUUCGAGAGACGAUUUAGUCUCACCCACCGAAAAAAAAAAUCAACCUAAAAUGAUGCAAAGCAAUCCAAUAUGGCAAAUUUUACUCCUUGCAAGAAACCACAACUAGAUAGAUGAAAGAGAUUUCAUUCUUUCGGCUGAAGCUCUUUCUAUUGUUCCAGAGAAGAAGAGCAUUAUAGAUACCUGAAAAGAAGAAUGCCUUAUAAUGCAUUGCGUUAGCCUUGUUAGAACCGCGCCCUAUAUAGAGAUAUGGCGCAAAAUGGCUAUUUUGCAUCCAAAAUAGUUUGAGUGAAAAUUUGUUAUAGGAGUGGUUAAUUUAGCCAAUUCGUGGCCUGUAAAAAUGGUCACAUUUCACUUACAAUGAAGGUCAGUGAUCGAUGUUUUUGACAUUUCAAAGAUGCUAAGUAAUAUCAUAAAAAAUGUCAAAAGAGGUUUUUGAAAUUAUUCCUAAACUAUGACUUUGUCUCUUUUCAUUUUAUAUAGUACCGUUCCUCUUUUUUAUUUUUACCUUUUUAAAGAAAAAACUACAUAUGUCUCCACUUUUAUGUCUUAAUAAUCUGAGUAGUGCAUGACUCUGUCUAAUUAAAUUUUCUUCCACCUGGAAAUUCUGUUUCAAUUUAGGUCUUUUGGUAAAUUGCAGCUGGCUAAUUUGUGACUUUGUGCCAAAUCUUCUCGAUGGUGUCAUCGGUCAUGUAAUUAACCCUAUUAUAGUUUUUUGCAAAACGGAAACACGACCAAAUCUACCGAAUCUGCUAUCCUUUAUCCUGUUGCGGACCAAAUCGGCUGUCUGUGUUUCGUGACUGAAGUGAGCUAUUGACAUCUAGAACGAAAAUGAAAGACAAAACUGAUGAUUGAAGUCAAAGUAAAAAAUAGUUUCCCUCCGUUGUCAUAUGAAACAAGAAUCACUGUGAAACAUGUUUCAUUUUUGGGAUUUUCGUGGUAAUACCUUUUACGCACGGGAACAGAAAAUUCCUAGUAUCAUUAACGAUUUUAUUUUGUGGGUUCUUUUUUUUUUUUUUUUGGGGUGUGUGUUGGCGGAUGAAAUUACUAUUGACUUCUAGAAAAGCAAAAGAAAACACACGCCUUGACAGAAAAAGCUGAAAGAGAUGAUUUUUCUCAAUUUAAUCUUCAAGAUCAACAUUCAGUCAGACGUAUGCUACCCACAUUAAUAAAAGGGAAAAAGAAGUAUAGUACAAUAAGUUGUACUAACAUGAUAGUUUAAUCUGUCCUAGGAAAAAGAAAAAAAAAAGAUAGAGGUUUAACCUAAAAGCUAGCAAUGUUUUUAAACCCAAACUAGAGAGUAAACCGGAAAAUUUUUCAGUUCAACCGGUUCGAAUCCGGCUCAAAGAUUUAAUAAUGUUUUAUUCAUUUUAGUAUUACGAAUUUUGAAUAAAACUAAAAUACAUAUUUUAGAAAAUAGAAACUUAAUAAAAACUGAUUAAACCUCCCGAUUUUUACCAGUUCAACCGAUUCUUGACCGAUUCAAUUAAUUCUUUAGUUUUUUAAUUGAACCGAAUCGAAGGUAUAGCUGAUUCGCAGUUCAACCGAUCGAACCGGCAAGUGUCCGAUUUUCAAGACAUUGUGUGAAAGCUCUAACCCAUCAAAUUUUAAAAGGAUAAGUGAUAUUUGCAAUCCAAAAAUAGCUUAUGGCACUUCACUCUAAUACUUUAUUAUGUGAAGAAGGGUGGAAUGUGGGAGGAUUAUUUAAGAGCACAAACAUUAUUUAUGCUUUAAAAAUUCACUUGUAUGUUUACUGAAAAUUACAACUAAUAACAAGUUAAAUUGAUAAUUAUUGUCCUUAAAAUAUUGUUUAAAUUCAGUCAGCAGACUAUUCAAUUUGCGUACCAGCUAAAAAGCUGCCGAUAAAAGCUAGAACAACUUUAGAUACAGUCAACCGAAACCAAAAUAUUUGUGAUCUCUAAAGUGGAAGCAAAAACUGGCCGAUGUCAAAACACGAUCAAGAGAUGUUUUUUUUUUUUUUUUUUUAAACAAAACAAAAAAUACAAAGUGUAUGUUGCGCCAGUUUUCCAUCUGUAGGAUGUAAUCAAGCUGUUAUGAUCACUUGAAAAGUGGGGAGUUGGUAUUUGCGCUUCCAUCUGUAGAAGAACCGUAGCUGUAUCAUACAUUGAAUGCUGAUCCAGGUUCCGACCACCCUGUGGCAGACAAAUAAAUUUGUUUUCUUGAAUUUGGUGUUCGAAAGACUGGACGAGAAUCGGAGGAUAUCUGCACAAAAUUUCUGUAGAUUCUAUGAAAGAUUUUGGCAUGACUAUAAAGUAAGGUUAGAAUUAAAAGCACUUGGACACUGUCCAUGAGUCGGUCACAAUCAACUUGUUAAAAACUAAUCUCGUCCUCAAUUAUGCGCCAGUUUGACAAUUAUUAAAAGCGAGACCAUUUGGAUCACAUGCCGGUUUCGUCAAACGAAAACAAUGAGACCCAGUAAAAGUCACGAAUGGAAAUUGAAAAGAAAGGAAUGGCUCGAUUUCGUGAAGUCACAACAGAUGUGAAGGAUCAUAUUUCCUUGGCUUCUCAACUACACCCACAACCACGUAGAGUCAAAUCUGUAGAUAUGCUGUAGUAAUUAAUGAUCAGAAACGGGAAUCGUAUCCAUGGAUCCAGAAUCCAAAGAAAUAUUUGCCCACGUAACAACGGAACAAAACAAAGAACUAACUAUUGCGCAUCUAAUUUCCUUAUCAACCAUGUGGUCUUCCACGUCCCCGUUCGAUGAACAUGCCCAACAUGGUGUGAUGGAUUCAGGACCACGCUAUUUUAGGAUUCAAACUAGACUGAACUUUACACAUGUACAUUAAUAAUUACUCGAGCACGAGCAAGGGCUUUUCUAAUGGCAUUCACUGUGUACUAACUAAUUAAGUGAUAUACCUAUCUAAAUUUUACAUAACCUAUGUCGUGUGCGUAUAUAUAUAUAUAUAUAUAUAUAUAUAUAUAUAUAUAUAUAUAUAUAUAUAUAUAUAUGUGUGUGUGUAUUAAUAAUUAUUAUUCUUUCUUGCAUUUAUAUAUAUAUAUUUUUUAAUUGAUCUUAUUUUUUAAAAAAUUUAAUGUCUGAAGUACAUUUUAACGAGCACUCAAUGAAUGUCUGAUAGACAGAACCACCCCGGUUCUCAACCAUACGACAUUUUUGAAGGUAAUUCUGCCCUGCUCAUAAUGUAAGCAGCAACUUUUUGAGGUUGUUAAUUGGACUUAAUUGGGGGGAUUUUAAUAGAAUUAUAUCUAGGAGCUGUUAAUUUACACAUAUCUUUGACGUAGAAAUAAUGGUUGAUGAAGUCUUGAAAGGUAUUCAAAACUCAUUGAAAUCGUGCAGGCAUGGUUGUGAUUUAUUCGCAGCUCUUUUCCUCGUGGCUUCAAGUGGGGACUAGAGACGGGUGUAGAUCAAAUCAAGUUGGGGAGGGGAGGGCCGGGAGGCCACUUGCCACCUCCGAUAUUGAGAACAUCGUCGAAUAGACUAGAGUAAUCAUCUAACUUCUCUUCCAGCUAAAUAGUAUAUUAUGAUAUUGACCUAUCCCAAGAAUUCACCAUCUCAAGAGUUACAAAAAUAAAAGAGAAUCGCCACUAGUUGUUAACUUCCUGUCUGUGUUAGUAUUAUCAUACACAUUCGACGGCUAUUAUAUCAUGCAUCAACCUGAUUGGAAAGUGGAAGCCAUAUCCACACCUUAACAUAAAACCAUAAACAAACACACAUUCAAUGCCUUCCCCGCAACCCAGCCAAAUUAAGUCCCCAACUAUUAUUUUAAACGCUAACAAAAGUAGUUGCGCCGUCCAACUGGACAAGUUCGUACAAUAUGGCCAGUAAUUAAGGGCUACUAAUUAAAUGGAGCAACUUGUGAAGUUGUGAUACUGACAGCAUUUUUGUGUGUGAGAUGAGACACUUGUAAGAGUUAACUGAAAACUAUCCUAAUGCAAGUUGUUCGAUUGUAUCUCAUUGAUACUAACACAACCGAAUGCAAGUUGUUCGAAUGCAACUCAUUGAUACUAACACAACACUCAUCAUACAAAGGAACAAAACAAAACCAGUGAUUGAUGAUGAUGAUGUUGUAUUUUCUUGUAUUUCUAAGGGUUUUUUUAACGGGUGCCUACUGAACGCCCGUUUACAUACCUACAUUCUACAGAAUUUAUUAUAUAUAUAUAUAUAUACAUUGUAAUAAUUAUUACUUUAUUUUGCAUUUAUACAAUUUUUCUAAUUAGUCUUACUUUUUUAUAAAUUUGACACCUGAAAUAUAUUUUAAUGAAUACCCAUCGUACACUUAUUAUUAUUAGACAAACCCUAUUCCUAAUGCUACUAGUCGUUCUACUUUUAACGUACAAACACCUUUAUACAGUACUCACACCAAAUUACUAGAGUGUUAUAAGUAAUUUGGUGGAAGUGUGGUAGUAAAAGUGGUGUCGUAUAAACGGAUAAGUUCAAAGUUGAACAGGUAACCUUAUGAUGGAAGUGGUAAGAUUUCUAAAUAUGCACGUACAAAUCCAAAAGAGCCCAUCGUCUACAUCUCUAGGCCCCCCAAAAAGCUUUAAUUGUUUGGAGCCUUCCUAAAAAUUUAAAAAUUGCAUGGCCCGCAAUCCCACCUUGCGGGUAUAAAAAGACGGCCUAUGCAUGUAGUAAAUUGUACUUCCAUCGUGACCAGUUAGAUGCACUUGAAAAUCUAGAUAUCCAAACAAAUUGGUUUCAUUGCAACAGCCAAUUGAGUGUUCCAAAAGGUUAGGACCCAAUCCAAUCAAAAAAACAAUUUAGUAUAAGGAGGCAGUGGGGGACAGCGUUACUUGCCAUGGAUAGUCAUCAAAAGCCGUCAAGUGCUCCUCAUGUCCUGCUUUUCCCUUUGCCCCUUCAAGGUCCCGUAAAUUGCAUGCUGAAGCUGGCCGAGCUUUUCUGCUCCAGUCAUCUUCAAGUCACCUUCCUUAACACCGACCACAUCCAGCGUCGCUUGCUGAGUUGCACCGACGUUUCUAGCCGUUUUAAGCGUUAUGCUGGCCAUUUCCGGUUUGAAACGGUACCCGAUGGCCUCCCGGCAGAUAAGACGCUGACCGGAGAACAGAUAGGGGAGUUGUUGGAUUCCAUGGAAGCUGUGAGCUUACCACUCUUCAGGGAGAUUGUAAGGUCUAGUGUGCUUCUUUCUGAUGAUGCUCAAAAUCCCUUGACUUGUAUUAUAGCAGAUGGGGCUUUCGGAUUUGCAGUUGAUGUUGCUGCAGAAUUUGGAGUUGCACUCAUGUAUUUUGAUACCAUCAGUCCUUGUGGUCUCUGGUCAAUCUUAUCUGCAAACAGGCUUAUUCAAGCUGGAGAUUUUCCUUUUAAAGGUCAGUUGUUUAUUCUCCAUGCUAUGUAUUACCAGAAGAGUAUAAUGUGUUGCAUGCUAUGCUAACAAUCGAUUUUUGGAGAUCAGUAGUCUUAAAAUUCAACGCCAGACUUGUUAUCCAAAAAAUCAUAUUGUCAAAAUGCCUCCGCAUGUUUACGAAUUUGACCGUUAGCGAAAAGUCAUUACGUCAAUUUUGUCGAUGAGAAUGGCUCCUGGCCUCCGGCAUCCUUCCGGUGCAGCGAAGAUAUUUGGCUCUUAGACGGCAUAAUGAGGUUGUUCAUUCUCUGGCAAAACAUUUGAUUGAAAUCUGCGACGCUUAAAUUUCUGUGGGAUUGCCUCCCUAAUCUAUUCUUGCAUGCAGAUCUUCUUUCAAAUUAAUGAUAUUGUCUUCCGUUUAUCACUAAACUAUGUAACUAUGUUUAGGUUCUUCCGAAUUAUGAAGCUGCUUCUUUUUAACUAUAUCUAUAACUACAAUUAGAACUUCUUCGUUAUGUAUAUAUUAUAAGGCAUCAGAAUCUUGAAAUUCCUUUCGUAUAGUAUUUUUUUUUUCCGUGUUUGGCUAAGAGGAAUUCUAUUUCAGGAAAACUUAAAAGGGUAAACAUCCAAAACACUUACAUUAAGGAAAAGAAGAUUUUAUACCAAAAGACUUGAUUAUAUUAUAUAUAUUGCAUGCAAUUCAAAUUGUUUGCAAGAGAAACUGCUGGAACUGCUAACUGUUGCAAUGAAAACACUUCUUACACCUUUUUUUCUUCCCAUUUAACAAAACAUCACCAAAAUUAUUGCUAAACGAAAUAUCAAGAUACUCAUAUUUGUGCAACCUGCAACAUGUUUUAAUCAGUUUGCCUCAUGAUUUGCUUUUGGUCUUUGAUAUUUCAACCAUUAUGAUUAGCUUUAAGCUCUGAAACACGUGUCUUAACAUAAUCAAGUAAAGCUCUAGAAAGAUAUAUAAUAGUUAUGCUAAAAACUGUGAUGCUUCUUGAAUGAUCAAUUUCUUAAAUAAAAGCCUAUUAGUAAAGUUUUAUCAGUUCAGAUUAGUUUAGGAUUCUACAUUAAGAGGAUAAUUAACCACAUGUAAACUGGCUGUUAAUUAGAAAAAAGUUGCAUUAUUGAACUAUUAAUAUGACUCAAUAAAAGAUUAAGAGUUUAACACAGUUGCAUAGAUGUGCGGAAAAAGAUCUACUUAUGAUUCGAAACCUCUUCGUACCUGUAUAUUUAGCCUACAGUUGUAGAUAGGAAAAGCUCUACUUCUAUUUUUUUCCCCCUCAGUAACAUGUAGACCGUACAUUGGAAGUUUUUGGCUGCGAAAUCAAGUAUUAUAAAGCUAAACCUUUUUUCGUUUUAUGCUUAGUUCAAGUAGGAAGGUUCCUUGUAAAGUCAGAGACGCAAUAAUCUUGUAUUACAUGCAAGUUUGCUGAAAGAUUCAGCCUAAAAUGCAUCACAUGGACUACGGAUUAAUCAGUGCAUGAAACCUACGAUCAAUUUUACUGUUACAAGCCAUGCAUAUCUUCAAUGGAAGGUUGUUCAUAUAAAAAAUCAUAACCCUCGCACGCAGUUUUUGAGUUUUAACUGUCGCAAUCACUUUAAACAGAUGAUGACUUGGAUGCACCGGUAACCAGCAUUCCAGGAAUGGAAGGUUUCUUGAGGCGUCGAGAUCUUCCAAGCUUUUUUCGCAUACCUGACCAAAAUGACCCAAUAAUCCAGCGCGUGUUAAAGGAGGAGCGACAAAUGAAGAGAUGCCAGGGCCUGAUUUUCAAUUCAUUUGAAGAUCUCGAGGGUCCAAUACUUUCUCAACUCAAAACUCUUGUUCCAAGCGUCUACACCAUCGGACCCCUCCACACCCACAAAGAGACUAGGCUAGCUUCAGAAAGAGAGUCAAAAAAUGAUCGCAACUCCACAAAUAGCCUGUGGAAAGAAAACAAGAGCUGCAUUUCUUGGCUUGACAACCAACCUGCAAAAUCUGUUAUCUAUGUUAGCAUUGGGAGUCUUGCCCUCAUGGGAAAAAAGCAGCUCCUGGAGAUCUGGCACGGUUUGGCCAACAGUGGGGUGCGAUUCUUGUGGGUUCAAAGGCCAGGGUCCAUUACCGGGUUAGACGAGGAAAAUGAUGCUGGGAUUCCUUUGAAAUUGUGUCGAGCUACUACAGAGAGAGGGUGCAUCGUGAGUUGGGCUCCGCAAGAAGAGGUUUUAGCCCAUCCUGCGAUUGGUGGCUUCUUAACUCACAGCGGCUGGAACUCGACUUUGGAAAGUAUAGUUGAGGGAGUGCCUAUGAUUUGUUGCCCAUACUUUGCUGACCAACAGAUCAAUAGUAGGUAUGUGGGGGAAGUUUGGAAGCUGGGGUUGGACAUGAAAGAUACUUGUGAUAGGGAUAUUGUUGAGAUGAUGGUUAGGGAUCUUAUGGAGGAGAGGAAGGAUGAAUUCUCGAAAAAGGUCGAUCAUAUGGCUAGAUUGGCUAAAGCAAGUGUGAGCAAUGGGGGAUCUUCGUACAAUGCUUUGAACCGUCUAAUUGAGGAUAUCAAGCUGAUGAGCCAGAAAAAGCCACUUUGGUGACUACGUACAACGUUUACCACUUAUCUUUCUCUUGGUGCUUUUGUUUUGGACUAAUGAUGUACCAUUGUUCUUUUGCUUUCUCGUUCCCCCUCCCUGUAACCACCCCAAAAAAAAAAAAAAUUCGUAGUAUAGGUUAGGAUAUCAAGCUCAUGAAAUCGUGGCAUCAUUUUCCUUUUUUGUUUUCUCUUGGUGUUAUUGUUUUCUCGUGCCCCCUCCCGAGUCCUGUCCUGGUAACAAAUAAUUUUGUUGCUGCGUGUAUCAAUAAAAUGCCUUCUCUUGUUGUCUCUCUCUCUCUCUCAUUUUAUUUUUAUACAUGUCUUAUUCUAUGAAAACAUAACUUGUAUUGAAAAACUCAAAGAAAUGAAAACUAAAAAGAACAUUUGUUAGCGUGCAAUAUCCUUUAUUACACAUAUAUUCAGCUCAACUCAAGAAACAUAUAUUUUUCUGAUAGAAGUCAAAGAGAUCAAAGUUCUUUAUUAAAAGGGAAAAUUGUCAAAUUGCUCCCUUGCGAGUUCGAAGAAAUUUUUUGUCACUCACAUUCAAAUUUAGUCAAACUAGUUCCUCAGCUAUAAAAGUUUUGUCCAUUUGAUUCCAGAGCUCAUUUUUGUGCAGUUUUCUGACCAAAAUACUUGCGCCAUCUCGUGUACCUGCCUAUAAUUUCAAGGGUGAAAUGGGAACAAAAUUCAUGUCUCUUUCUAAAAGAAAUACCUCUCUUCCUCUCCCCCCCCUAAUUUUCAAACACCAAACUCUAUUUCUAAUUCUCAACCACCAAAUCCCAAUUCCGAGUAACAAAACUUUCAACAAGUUCACAAAUAACACAUAUAGCAUUAUAAUAUUCUAUUAUAUGCAAUAAAUUACAAUAUUAUGUUAUUUAGACAAUCUUUUACACAAUCGUCCCUUUAUUAUCAAAAAGGUAUCAAAGUGGUGGAAUCAGUCACCAUAAUCAGAUGGAUUUAAGCUCUACUGUCCUUCUUUCUCACUCAUCUUUGUAAAAUUAUCAUGUCUGAUGAUCCACCAGUGCUUCUCGAUCAUUGGUACCCUUUUCUAAUUUGAUCCCUAUGUCUUUUUCUUCAUCACCUUUUGUUAAUGUGCAUUUGCUAAAGUCUUGUUGUUGUGAAUUGGGAUUUGGUAGCUGAAAAUUUGAGGGGAGGGAGUGGUCUUUUUUCCCUUUCUUUAGGUAAGGGAAAACAAUUUUUAUUUCCAUUUUGCCCUUGCAAUUAUGGGCACAUGAGGUAGGUGUGCGUUUUUUUGUCCGAAAACAAAGCAAAAAUGAGCUCUGAUACCAAACCCGCAAGAUUUUUAUAUCUGAGUGAUUAUUUUGGCCGAUUUUGAAUGUGAUAAACUAAAAAAGGAUUUUUUUUUCUUUUCUCAAAAAAUGUGAGGGACCAAAUUGAGCAGUUUUCCAAUAAAAACAUAGCGAAUAUUUUAGAUCGCAAAAGUGUCACAUUGGUUUCAAUACUGAAGGCUGAUCUUAUGUUACGAUUCCUGUUUUCUAAGAUUAUACUUCCAACUUCUGAAAGGAUAGAGGUAUUGAAUAUAUACGUUUUCAUUAUGAAUACAGGCCAAGUUAUAAAAGUGGUCAGGAAUUCCUCUAGAUCACAUAUGUCAAUGCUCUAAAAUUAAUGAUGAUAUCUCUUUAUGGAAAGUAGUAAUUUUCUAGGUCAUGUUUAUACAUGAAGGAUACAUCAUUCCCACCUCUCGUGUGACAUUUCACCUUUUUAAGUUUUCAUAACUUGAAAGUUAUACAAAUUAGAUCCUCCGCCUUAUCCACUUAAUUAAUACUAUUUAAGAAUAAUAACGUAAUUUAACAAACAUUUAAAAUACCGAUAACAUAAAUUUAUGCAAUUUAAUUCAAGAACAUACAGAAAACAAUAACCAUAUUAGAACAACACGUAUUAAGUGGGGUGCUACUAGAAAACACAAAAUUGAGAACGGGCUGUUGGGCUUACAUUAAAGAAAAUAGUCCAAAGACAAACUAAUGGAUCCCCCUCUGAGUGGACGUGGAGUUUCGAAAGCCCAACGUUGUCACCUAGCUCAUCGACUUGAUGUCCUCAUUAAAUUAACAAACGCCCAUCCUGGCUGACGUGGCUAUUGAAAUUUGGAAACCAGAUUCCUUGUCACUUUCAUUACAAGUUUACAACCUUGACCAGAUGUCUAACCACUACUCCACCGAAAAAUGUUGUUUUUUUUUAAAUAUAAUUUCGUUGAACUCUCGGAAGGUUCCAAAAAUUAUAUCCAUCUCUAUCGUUUACUUGUUUUUUUUUUAAAUAUAAAUAGGAGGUCUCAAACUCGAAAUUUCUCACUUACACUCCUUUUUUCGUACUACCCAACUCGUCUCUCUUCCCCACUUCUAUUGUCCACUUGUUAACAUUUUAAUAAAAUUACAUAUUGGGUGUUGCUAAUACAAAGAAUAAGUUUUGUAACUAUUUUUCCUUUUCUUUUUUUCUUCUUAUUUCUUUUUUUUUAAUGUUUUGCUAUUAAAACCACGGAACUAUCAAUAUUGACCUUAAAUUUUAUCGCCACCCAAUGUUGAACUAGUGACUUUUUUUUUUUUUUUGACAACUUUGAAUGUGACUAAAUUUUUGUCAAUCUUUCUUCCUCUUUUUUUUUUUUUGGUAUCAGAAGCGAUAAUAACUCGAAAAAGAUAUAACCCAAAACUACUAUCAAACUAUGAUUGUUCUACUGGUCCAAAAUUUCACAAAACCUAAAAGAAUUAUGAUAGUACUUUUCUUUUUCCAAUUUAGAAAGGAUAUAUAUCCACGGUAGCAUACCAUAAAAAAAUACUUUGUUAUAGUGAUAGAACUAUUAUUGUUUCUUAUUGAAUGAUAAAUGGGUAUUAGAAAUUUGACGCUCUUUUCUUAUAUUUAUACCAUAUUAGUUUAUAAUUAUUUGGGAUUGGUAAUUUAAAACUUGGGAAAACUGCACAAAUCGUCCCUAAAAUAUAAUUGAUAUGAAAAUUUAGUCCCUCGGAAUAAAGAUAAUUAUUUUUAAUUCCUAACAAAUUAAAAAUGAUCAGCGCUGGUCCUUGAUCACUUUUUCGUUCAAAAUUUAGCCGGAACUAGUCAUGAGCAAAUCACGUGACCAAAUUUUAAAGGAUAAAUAUGGUAUACCAGUGUAACAUUGACCGAAUAUAUAAGAGACUAUCAAUCCCUUUCUUUCCAAAACGGGUUUGUUUGGAUUGUGAAUUAUUUGAGAUAUUUUUACUGUAGCACUUUUUGUGAUGUGAUGUAUGUGAGAUAAAAAGGUAAUUGAAAAGAUAAAAAGAUGCGUUGAAAAUUGUAAUGAUGAUGUAAGCAGAUAUAAUUUGACAAAUAAUUCACAAUCCAAACAAAGCAAUCAAACUCACAGAUUUGACAUAUAAUUUUCCCAAAUUUUUCCUCUUCAAUUUCUUCAAAAUUAUCAUAGACCAAACAAGACUGGGGGAUGUGGCAGAUAAGUUGGCUUAUUUUCAAUCAACUCACAGAUGUUAAAGACCCUAAUUUAUGCACAGAGAUCCUCUUCUCUCAUGACUGGUACCUCUAGCAAGCAAUCUCCUUUUUUUUCUUUACCUCAUCUCUAAUUCCUUUGACGAGCACACCACCGCCGACGAUACUCUUUUUACCUUCAUCUCAGCGAUCGCCUCUUUCAAUUCUAACACCGAGGGAGCAAUAGUAGAACCACCAUUGCAGCUGGAACCAAUGGGGCCCUUGGCUUGGUUUGGAAAGUUAUGACACUUCCGUUCUCUAUCAUUUCCGGUAGACUAGUGAUGCCGGACUCUGGAUGUGGGCUACUUGGUUUGAUACUAUGGAAAUGAUGCUUGGUUUGACCAUGAAGGAGAGUUCAACAAGAGUUCAAGAGUACAAGUGGUGCUGUUUUGUUUGACCAUGGAAAAUGAUGAUCCUGUCCGAAGGUUAAUGGCAACAUUGGAGACAGGAGACAUAUUAUUGAGGUUGAAAUUUCAUGUAACAUUUGUCUGGAAUCUUGCCAAGGUUACUAUUGUUUUGCUUCAUUUUGGCUUAUUGUUUAUUUUGUAAUUGAAUAUUGGAGAAAAUUAUAGUCAAACUUAAAACAAUAAUUCGAGAUUUUAGUUGAUUUCUCAAUUGUGUAGAGCAUGAAUUAUUUGUCUUGUUGGAUUUUUUUGUUGGUAAGUAAUUCAUAAAUUACUUGUUGGAGUAUUUAUUUUUUUUGUGCAAAUCUGCUUUCUCUAUGAUGCAUUUUUUUGUAUAUAACGAGAUUCUAGUUUUGAGUUGGAAAUUCCAUUUAGUGCCUUUUCUUAUAUAUCUAGGGUUUUUGAAAAUUAUAGGGAGGAUUUAUUUAUAAUAAAAAGGUGGAUGGAAUUAGAUAUUUGGCCCAAAACCAAUUUUUUUUUGUUGCACAAUCCGUGUGUUUUUUCAAGGUAUUUUUGGAAAAUUUUAAUGUAAAAAAGUGAUUAGCCAUUUUUGUAUAAUACUUAAUUGAGAUAUAGGACAUUUAGUCCCUUACAUUUUCAGUCAACAUUACACUAAUAUGCCACAUUUACUCUUUAAAAAUUAGUCACGCGGCCUGCUCGUGACUAGUUCCGGCUAAACUUCGAACGAAAAAGUGAUCAAGGACCAAAGUUGAUCACUUUUAAUUUGUUAGAGACUAAAAGUGAUCGUUUUCAUUCUGAGGGAUUAAAUUUUUACAUCAGUGAUAUGUAAGGGAUGAUCCGUGCAGUUUUCCCUUAAAACUUUAUAAGCAAAGGGCAUUUUAGGAAUUUUUGACAAGUCUAAGGUUUAUUUACAAAAGUGUCAGUUAUAUGUAAUUGUUAAAAUUUUAAGGGAACUUAAUGAAAUUAUCAAAAACAUCAAGAAAGGUUUAUGAAAUUAUCCCCAUAUUUUAUUGUGAGCCUUUAAUUGUUUUUCCCACGGCAAAUGAUACUGCCAUUAUAUAUUUCCACGGCAACUGUACAUGUUGGUUGGAAUGACUGACGUACUCCUUUUUCUAAAGUCCAAAUUACACUUAGACUUCUGAAUUGUAAGUUCGGCAUUUGGUGCAAUGUAUGGGAAUACAGUCUUGGCAGCAGCCCUGUGUUGAAUUCACGGGUGAAGAAAAUUAGCAAAAUGAUAAGAUUAAUAUGUUAUCUUCCGCUAGAAUCCGAACUAUUAAACUGUAGCACUUUUUGUGAAUUAUUAGAGAUAUUUUUACUGUAACACUUUUUGUGAUGUGAUGUAUGUGAGAUAAAAAGGUAAUUGAGAAGGUAAAGAUGUGUAUUAGAAAUUGUAAUGAUGAUGUAAGCAAAUAAAUUUUGAGAAAUAAAGUCCAAUCCAAACAAAGCCUAGUAAGGUUAUAUACUAUUUGGAAGAUAAUGCUAAAAGUUACUACUACUUUAAAAUUGGAAAACGCAAAUCAACGACUAAUUGAGCACGUGGUGCAUCUCCCCUAGUUCUCUGCCACCCUGCCUUGAAAUUUUAGCCUUGUCAGUGGAAUUGUGGAAAAGGAAAUCAAAUCAAAUCAAAUCGUCCAACUUAUAAAAAACUCGAUCACUCCCUACUCCCUACUCCCUACUGCUUCCAAUCUUCUUCGUUUAUCAGAAGACAUAAUUAUUAUCACGCAAGGCAAGCCUUUCACCAGUCAAUACCAAUGAACCAGAAGCCCCAGCUCCCGCCCCAUGUACUCAUCUUUCCCCUGCCGUUGCAAGGCCCCGUCAACUCCAUGUUGAAGUUAGCAGAGCUUCUCUGUCUUGCGGGUCUGCACAUCACCUUCGUCGUCACGGAGCACAUGCACGGCCGGCUUUUACGUUACGCCAAUAUCCAAUCUAGAUUCGAAUGUUAUCCGGGGUUUCAACUGAAGACCAUCCCUGACGGUCUGCCAGAAGAUGAUCCGCGUUCUCGAGGUAAAUUCGCGGUGCUGCUUGAUUCUCUCAAGUCCAAAGGCAAGCUAAUCUUCAAGGACAUGCUGACUUCUGGCUGCCUUAGCCAUCAAAAACGCAGGCCCGUCAGCUUUAUCAUAGCUGAUGGAUGCUUGGGGUUCACCUGCGAUGCUGCAAAUGAGGUUGGUAUCCCAAUUGUUUAUGUCCGAACAGUCAGUCCGUGUUGUCUCUGGGUCUGCUUUUGCCUUCCCAGGCUCAUUGAAGCCGGAGAGAUACCCUUUAACGGUACGUAUACCAAUCUUUAUUUUAAGCUUUCGUCUCAUUUUUUUCCUAGUGUUUUGGUUCAAUUUAUCUGUCACAACUUACAACACACGCCAUGGUGUUUGCGAAAAAAUUAAGUCUCAAUCCCGUACGUAUUGUCAUAUAUAUCCUCACUCAGAAGUUCGUAGAAGAAAAGUUAGAAAACUGUAUGAUCAACAUAAUUUAGUAGGUAAUAAUUUGACGUACGUUUGUUACUAGUUCAAUGUUUAGAUUCAUAAACCGUGAUCGAUACAUUGGGUAGAUUAAAAUGAGCUUAAAAAGUAAAAAAUAAAAAUAGGUUACCUGUGAUAUACUAUAGAGUGAAAUUAAUGUUAAUGUCCUUCAACUUUUUAUCGUGCUGCUUUUACUAUUUUUCUUUUUCACAACAGGAGAACGCGUGAUGAAAAACCUAACACGAAAAGUUUACUAUUAAUGAUUGGUCGAAAAGUUUGUCACAGCUCUUGGCACUAUUUUUAAAUUCAGAUCAGAUCGCCCGAUUUGAUGGAUUGAAACGGGAAUUGACUAGGCUUCCAAUUAGAGUCGGCAAAAAAAGCUUAAAAUCCAACAAUCCGGCCAUUAAUUUUAAAUGAUGGAUUGGGUCAAUUGAAUUAUAGGUUUUAUUGGGUUAGGUAAAAAUAACCUAAUUUAUUCAUUGGACGGAUUGGGUUUUUUAUUUGGGUAUUCAAUGCCCAACUUAUUUAAAAAUAAUUCAAAAUAAUAAAUACAAGAUUCAAUAUACAAAUGCCCAACUAUUUACAUUUGGACAUGUGUUAAUAAUUCAUUGAUUAAUUUGUAUUCAAAAUUCUCAUAUAUAUAUUUUCAAUCAAUUUUUUUAAUUUUUAUUUAAAAGAAAAAUGAAACUUGAAAUAAAAACCCAUGCUUAUUUUACUUUUAUAAUAGUAGUUAAACUCACUCAAUUUCUAUAAUAAUUUAUUAUGCCUUUUAAGAGUAUGUUGUUUUCCUUUCCUUUUUUUUUCUUUUUUUUUUUGGUUGUUCUCAAGUUGCUACUUGCUUUUGUUUGUUAAUAUUUCAUGUACGUAAGAUAGAGUUUUAAAUUUGUUCUAAUUGCAUUCUUUUUUAAUAUUUCGUGAUUGCUUUUGUUUGUUAAUAUUUCGUGUACGUAUAAUAUUGUACAAAUUUCUUUUUUAACCUUUUAGCAUUAUAUAAUUUUGGAUUCUUCAAAUUUACAAACAAAAGCUUACUUUGUAUCAGCCUAUUUUUUCGCUAAUUCAAAAUAAUGCAAUUCCGAUGUGGUAAAAAUGUCAGAAUAGUUCAUGAAUUCUCCUCUCAUUUAUUUCUUAAAAAUUUUGGGAUUUUCCUUAAUAAUUUUUUGAGGAGGAAUACCAGUACUUUUUACAAGCAUAUAAUAUUUUCUGCUUUAUAUUACCGCUGUUGUAAUUCUAAAAGAUUAAUAUAAUCAUAGCAUCAAGUAUGAUCCUAGAUGAUUCUAAUUAAUCAGGUGAUGAAUUAUCUAACUGUAUCAAAUCAAUAAAAAAAUACCUUCUAAUAUAUAUUAUAUGUAUAUAGAUCAUGAUAUUAACUUCGAAUCAAUAUAGUUGACUUGCAUAUUCUAUUUUGUUUUAAUAAAUUAUGGCAACUUGGGCAUGGCUAGUCCAACAAUUUCAUUUCGUCUGAAACAAAUAAUUUCCCUUUUAAUUAAUUUCAACAACAGAAAUAAUUUUCCCUCUUAAUUAGUGAGUCCAAGAACCAAAAUGUAGUAAUGUCUCCAAUCAUUUAAUGGAAGAAAGCAAUUUGCAUAUUAUCCUCAGAAUGUAGUUAUGAUGCAUGAAUCUUUCACAACAGUUUGCAAAAUUUCAAGAGUCAUGAAUCAUAAUUUUUUUGAGAAUAUAAGGACUAAAGUACAAAGUUAUUUUCUAUAAUUUCAAUAUUAUUAUACAACAAAUUAUAUGUCUCUUACUUACAUUUUCAAGUAUAAUAUAAUCUAGCAUUCAAUAAUUUAAAUACAUAAAAUAUUACAAUUUACAAUAAAAUAGAUAUGAAUAGUAAAAGUGCUAAUAAGUUGUGACAAAAAGGCAGAUUGCUAGAUCUGAAAUGAAAAAAAAAAAGGAAAAAAUGAAUCAGCAAAGAGAUGAAAAGAAAUCAGGGAUUGGAUGGGAAUGGACAAAAAUGGAGGACGGUUCCAUGUGUGCUUGUGAAUGUUUGCGAGAGUCAAUAAAGGGCAAAAAAAAAAAAAAGGAAAGAGAGAGAGAGCAUUAGAUAGAAGAAGAAUGGUGAUGACUUGAAAAAUGAAACAAAACAAAAUAUUAGAAAAAAAUAAUAAUAAAGGAAGACGUACACAAACUGGAACAGGAAGUCUGGAUUGCUUUGGAUGCCAAAGAAAGCACGGGAAAGCCACUGGCGGCGAGGAAGAAAAAAUGAUAGGAAAUUCCUUUUUAAAUCUAAAAUUUUUUUAUAUUGCAUUUUGACCCCAAAAUGUUUUGAAUAAUUAGAACUACGCAUAAAUUUCUUUUAUUAUUUUCAUUUGCAACUUUAGUUUUUGCAUGUUUACAUGAUUCUUGCUAUCAUUCUAGUCUUUCUAGAUUAAUUAUCUUAUGCGCUGCAGCCCAAGGACUUAGAAGUAUUUACAUGUACAUUCUUAAUUUCAUUCUAAAAAAUAUAUGGACACACACACACACACACACACAUAUAUAUAUAUAUAUGUAUUUAUGACAUCAUUUUAUCCGAUUUGAUCCUUGAAAUCGAUCGAGUCAAUUCUUGGUUCGCCUCUGAAAACAUAGAUUCUUGGUUGUAAUGUCAUGCUAUAUAGUCUAUGGUGACGUGUGUUCUUGACUUUGAGAAUGGAAGUGAAACACAAGUCUCAUGUACAGGGGAUGACUUGGACACACUCAUAAAAGGUGUACCGGGGAUGGAGAGCUUUCUCCGGCGACGUGACCUGCCGAGUUUUUGCCGUUCUGGUGACCCAGACGACGAAAGCAUGCGACUCUAUAAAACAGAAGGCCAAGAAAAUUCCAGAGCCUAUGGCCUCAUAGUCAACACGUUCGAGGAUUUAGACGGACCCAUACUAUCCCACAUGCGUACCGUCUGUCCCAACAUCUACACCAUCGGACCGCUCCACGCCCACCAUAAAAACAAGCUGGCCGAGCAAGCGGCGUCGCUGCCGCCCACUUCCAAUAGCUUAUGGUCCGUAGACAGGAGCUGCAUGACGUGGCUAGACUCUCAGCCGUCAAAGUCUGUGAUCUACGUCAGUUUUGGAAGUAUUGCAACAUUGACCAAGGGCCAGCUCAUGGAGUUCUGGCACGGCCUGGCCAACAGUGGCGUCAGAUUCUUGUGGGUAAUAAGGCCGGAUUCUGUCGCAGGGGAGGAUUGGGAGAGUCAGGUUCCGGCGGAGGUACGGGAGGAAACGAGGCAGAGGGGGUACAUUGUGAGCUGGGCCCCACAGGAAGAGGUCCUAGCCCAUUUUGCUGUCGGUGGGUUUUUGACCCACAAUGGGUGGAACUCGACUGUGGAGAGCAUACACGCAGGUGUGCCCAUGAUUUGUUGGCCUUACUUUCUGGACCAGCAAGUGAACAGUCGGUUUGUGAGUGAGGUUUGGAGGCUGGGAUUGGACAUGAAGGAUACCUGUGAUAGGGCUACAAUCGAAAAAAUGGUGAGGGAUUUGAUGGUGGUGAGGAAUGAGGAAUUCUCUCGAAGGGCUGAGGAAAUGGCCCAAUUGGCUAGGACAUGCCUGAACGAAGGAGGGUCGUCUUAUGGCAACUUGGAGCGUCUGGUAAGGGACAUUGAGUCCAUGACUCAAGACCGAACAACUUGAUUUGUUUUUACCAGGAAAUAAAACACAGAGGACUAAGCUGCUUUUCCCAAGACUUGUUAUCUUUUUUCUCUACUUUUUAGCAGGAAAUAAGAUACAGGGACAUACUGAGUCUUGUAUAUGUUGCUUUGAGUCCUUAUGGUCCUAAUCUUACCUUAUCAAUAAUGGACUUUUGUGCUUUUGAUUUGAAUGGCUCCAUUCACUAUUGCAUUUGGGUUCAUUGUUGCUUGAUGGAGAACAAGACCAGCCCACUCGGUUUCUUGAGUUGGGACAGGAAUGGGAUGGAGGAAUGUUAGUAUCAAUUUCUGAAGGGGGCUGAUGGGGUCUCUGAUAAUUAUAUCAAACUUGAAGCCGUUCAAUUUUUAACAGGCACGCGAGAUUUAACUUCGAUUACUUGCACGUCCUUUAUUCGAUCCAGGCAGAAGUUUUAGGAGGAAAGAAAACCCGUCAUAGAAUUAAUAUGUGCUCCUACCAUAAUUAAUCCCCUCGGAACAGCCAACCAAUCAAUCAGCAAAGAUGAAAGCAUCAACAUGUGGUUUCAAGUGUAAAACGUACAUUUACGUUUGCUCUUUUGGUAAUCAGAUUCUUUCAAGUUUAACACGACUUUGAGGUUGACUCAGAAAUGUUAUGGUACAAGAAAUAAGUUGUAGCAUUAGUAGCUAAUUAAUUAAGGAGAUUUGAUAUCCAUCAAUUGGCGAUCGCAAGCAAAUUUGUGCGUGGAGUAGGGUGGAAAAGAAGUUAUUUGCAGCAGCGCGAUGAAUUCCGAAUUCUUGUUGACUUCACCACCGACUUUAUAUUCAUGCGUAUAGAUAAUUAAAAAAAAUAAUUUUUUUUUUGUGCUCAAUUACUUUAAAAUAAAGUAAUCAAUUCCAAUUAUUAUUGAUAGACCAAUUCACUUUUGAGCCGAACUACUUUCAUUAUUCUAAGAUUGUUAAGUCAAUUAGUACGCUGCCAUCCAUGUGGUUUCAUUUUCUGAAGGCCCAAUGUGUACGCAAAAAACAUAUCAAAUUUCAGCUUAAUCUUUCAAAGUACCCAAAAGUCUGCCAUUUCGCUUUUCUAUUUAUUUACCCUUUUUUUUUUUUGUUUUUUCUGAUCCCGUCUCAACUAAGUAUUGUUUUUUUUUAAAAUAACACUCCCACUACUAUUGAUCUCGGAGGUGUCUCUAAUUAUGAACGAAAAGGAAAAAAAAAGGGGAAUUUUUAAUAUACUUUUGUAAUUCUCUUCCCUAAAAUAUGCAGCUGUUGCUACGUCCCAUGAUUGCAAUAAUAAACCAUUAUAGAUUGGUAAAUUGCAUGAUUACGGGCAUGCACGCUGAUGGAGGGAAAUCAUCAAUAUGAACAUGGAUGCCUGCCUUGAUUACGUAUUUAAUCUAAUUGUGUCGAUGCCUUUGGCGGGUUGACGUUUAAUUAAUGAAUUCACCCGGAAGAAAAUCAUCAGUCAGAGUAACAAUUUAAUUACUAGCAAUUUAAGCUUCCACUGCCUAAUGGCAACAACAGAGCAAGAACCAAUCCAUUUUAUAUAAAUGCUGCUGCGUGCAACUUCUCCUUGAGACAACACAGAAGUCGUAAAGAUGCUUUGCAACACAUGGGAGCAGAAGUUGAUUCAACCAACGUACUAUUCUUGUAGCGAAUAUGGACUAAUCAUGCUUUUGUCAGAAUACACAUAAAAUAAUAAUGGUAGCAGCAUAAAUGUUUGAGUAUUAACAAAGCAUUUGGUGUGUGUGUGUGUGUGUGUUUACUGCUUUAAAAAGGAAAAAAGAAAAAAAGCUGGAAUACGUUUUGUUCCUGUGUUAAUUUAAUUUUGGACUGACGUACGUGUUGGCAACACCGAAUGGCAAUUGUAGCGUUCAUGUGAAGUCAUGUUACAGAAGAACUACUGCUGCCACUACCAAUUAUUUUUCUUUCUAAUUUGGGUUUCCAUUAUUUGACAUUGAGAUUGUGUGUGUCGGAAGUGAAGGGCAGGAUGAUUAGUCUUUUGCAUAAUUGAUUGACUGACUCCUCUUUUACCAAAGGAAUCUGGCUUUAUCCAUUUCUGCCUUUCCACGAGGAUCAAGUCAGGAUAGAGACACCGCUGUGAGUUUAGAAGAUGACCAAUUACUUGAGAGAUUCUGAUUGGAAAAUGUUUGGACCGGAGAUUAUUUGGAAAAAUUAUUUGGAGUGAUUCAUGUCACUUUCUGUAAUAUGAUGUAUGUGAAAUAAAAAUGUAAUUAAAAAUAUGAAAUAUUAGUUAAAAAAAUGUAUUUAUAAUACAAUUCAAUUAAUAUUUGAAAAAAAGUUCAUAUUCAAACAAACCUCAACUGUGAAUUUUGCCGUUCUCAUCAAAAUAUUCAAAAAAGUAUUUUUUUUUUAUAUCGACAUUAUAAAUUUUAUGCUACAUUUGCUCCUACUCUAUCAGAGGGGGAGUGGAAAAUUUAAAGAGGUCAAGGGAAAUGUCAAGGUGCAUAGGCACCUGUUGAUGAAAUCUUUUUCGAGAAAACUUGAAUAUUGGAUCAAUGGCUCAGUGGCCACCCAGGACCUCUUUGAGAUGUAGGUGAAGGUUCAAACCUCACCUGCAGCGAAAAAAAUUUAAGGGUUGUACCAGAGCACGCUCCCUUGAUCUAUAGUUGGAUCUGUAUACCGUUGCUGGGAAAAAAAAAAAAACUUAUAUUCAAAUAGAGUUUUAAAACUCUUUUUGACAACUCUAGAAAUAGUUGGUUGCCUUGAGUCCCAACCUCCGCAAUAUCUUCAAACAAAAGACUCCAAACCCUUUCAAGCGGUUUCUGUAAAAAUUGAUAGCCCCGUCUCCUGUUCCUGACCGUGCUUUGGCUAGAUGAACUGUACAAGUUUGGCCGAUAAGUUCUCCGUGAUUUGAGCAACUUAUAACCAAAAAAUGGAGAGAGGGGCGGGGGGGUGAAGAAGCGCGGGGCUUCCCCGGACCGAGCUGAACUGACGAGCUCGGGGUGUCGAUGGGAGAGCUGAUCCAAGACCUGCAAAACAAGUAAAAGUGAUCUCACGGUGGGGGGGCCCGAGGGUUGUCCCCGAGGGCGCUCCGACGGCCAAGUUAGUACUCCGGUGGGUAAGGUUCACGGGAAGUAGCAAUGGUCCAGGAUAAAUUGCCAAUAGUGAGCGUACCUUGUACAGUGGAUGUGUGUUAUUAUUUAUACCUGGAAGGGAGUCCGACCUCCGCACGACGCGGGACUUGCCCAGUAUAGAUAGUAUCCCGCACUCAGGGGGAUUACUCCCGACCUCUUCGGGACGGACCUUCGCCUCCCCUGGGAGCCCUAGUCGGUGCGGCCCAGGGCUGCUGCCAGGGGUCUGGGGGCCAAGGCCCAGCUCGGUUCUUCCUGGGCUGCCGCGUGUCCGAGCCCAGAACGGGGCCUCUGCACUAACCCCCUAGAUUAGGUAGGACUGUCAGACAGACCUAAUCUAUCUUCGCCACGUGGGAGGCCAGAACCGCGCACUACCCUGCCGAGGUCACCUCUGGUACAGUGCUGUCACAGGGACGCUGCGCCCACGUCCUUUCAGCUGUCCCGCCUCUUCGGUUUUCGUGCCCGCAUUAAAUGCGUUCACAUGAGGGUCGGUUCAAAUUCACGCAACCGUUCUCCCUCCGCUCUUCCCCCUAUAAAUAGGGGAUGCCAAAUACUCAUCUGUCCCAUUUGCCAUUUCCGCUUCUUCUUGUGCAUUUCAAGUUAUCACUCUCCCUGUGCACCCACAUUUCCAUUUUCCAGCAACCUCCGGCGUCCUGUGCCCAGAUUCCGGCGAGCCUUCAAUCCUUCUUCUGCCGUCAUCAGUAAGUCCUUUUUGCGAUUCAUCUUCCCUCUUCGCGGUGUCUCUUUUGCCCUCUGCUACCCCCCACUUUUUAUGUCGGAUCAUUCCUCCUCCUCUGUUGCUGUAGUAUCAGUCCGCCGCAGAGCUCCCCGAGUUAUCGUUCUUUCCUCGCCUUCACCCUCAUCUUCGUCACCAUCUUCUCCUCCCCCUCUUUCCCCUUCUUCUGCUUCUAGUCCCAGCUUCCACACCUCUGACCUGCCCGAGCCUACUGACAUCAUGAGCUCUCCUUCACCCCAGUCUCCUUCAUCCCAUCCUUUUUCUGCCCGCGCUCUAGAGGAAACGGCUGAGCUCGACGCCUACCUUGAGCAAGAGGCCGCAACCACCUCCUCUCCCCAGUCCCCCCAUGACUCCCCUGGCGGGGCCCAGGGCGGAGCUGGGGAGGACAGGGAUCCCUCUGAGGGGACCCCUACCUCGGAGCAGGGGGAGGAUCCCGAAUUCUCCUAUGGUUACCCAAACCUACAGGAGGCCACCCUGUCGCCCCAGGACGUGGCCGAGCUGGCCGAGUCGUACUCCAUCCCCCCGGCCUUCGAGCCGAGGGCGGCCGGGCCCGACGACCGAGCCUGCCGACCUCCCCCAGGCUUCGUGGCUAUCUACAGGGAGCAGCUCAUCGCAGGGCUCCGUCUCCCCAUUCAUCCAGCUCUGACCAAUAUUCUGACCUACUGGGGGCUCAGAAUCACCCAACUUCACCCUACCUCCAUCAGGAUCAUCACCGGAUUCCUGAUUUACUGCCUUCUCUGCGACAUCCCCUAUUCUCUCUCCCUUUUCCGAGCCGCCUUCAUUCUUAAGUCUUCCCUCCCGGGGUGGUACUACUUCUCCCGUCGGGGCCCCCAGACCAAGGGAGGGAAAGGGGCCCAGGAGUUGUUCUUCGGCCUCCCCUCCUCCGUUAAGGAUUGGAAGGAGGAUUUCUUCUUUGUCCGAUCCACACAUUUUCCUCCCAAUGUGUGGAAGGUUGGGGGGGUCAAGGCCGACCCCUACCCGAAGGACCUGGACUACGAGACCCUCAGCCCGUUGUUGGGCUCCAAGGUGAAGCUCGAUGUUACCAGGAUCUCUUCCGAGCAGAUCUCCGCAGCAGGGCUGAUGGGGACGUUGUCCGGAUCCUCUGGGGAAGUGGCGACCCCCCAGCCCAAACUCGACACCUGUAACGCUGGCUCCGUCCCUGUCUUUAUUCAUAGCGUAUAGAUUUUCCCUUUUUUGCCUUUUACUGUCUUUCGUUCGGCUGACCUGGUGUUCAUUUCAGUGAGGAAGCUCUCCCAACUGCUGGGCGCACCCCUCGAGGAGGUCACUCCCGACCCCCAGCCCGGGGCUGCUCGGGGGGCCCCGGGUGGGGCUUCCACCCCGGGGGGCGGCUCAGCCCCCCAGAAGGAGACAUCGCAACCAUCCCCCUCCAAGCAGGCCGCCAGCAAAAAGAAGGCGGCCGGACAGAAGAGGGGCAGAGGGGACGAGCCCUCUCAGGCUGGGCAGAAGAAGCUCGCCCUGGUCUCCGCACAGCCUCCUGUUGCGCGGGUCUCCGGGGGACCAGUCCACCUGGGCGUGGGCUCUGCCGAGGAGCAGGUCCAGGAGUCGACUCCCCCGAGCUUGUGGCACUUCCGCCACAUAGCUCCCCUGAAGCCGGGCCAAGCCCCCACGAUGCAUGACCCCCGCCACUUCUGCCCGUCCUGGAAACUCUCCAUCAACGACCGAGCCCAGUUCCCCGAGGUGGCUCGCGAGCUGAUGGUGGGCUCGGUCCUUCCCAGGGACAAGAAGUGGAUGGAGCUGGCCAGCCCCCCCGAGCUCUUGGACGCGUAUUAUACCGCCCAGGCCCAAGUAAGUAUCACCCACGGGUUAAUUUCACCCCCGUGCCUGGGUUAAGUGAUGUGGCAUGCUGACCUGCUUUCUCUCUUUUCCAGUCCAACGCUGCCGGUGCCGCCCUGGCCACCCGCUUCUCUGAGCUGUCUCCCGAUCUGGAGAAGUUGCGGAAGAAGAACCUGGAGGCGGAGAGGAAGCUUUCCCAGGCCCUCCAGGAGGCCAGCUCCCUCAAGGCCAAAUUAGACAAGGCCGAGAAGGAGCUGGACGCCGCCCAGGUCCAGCUCGCCUCCACCAGGUCGGAGCUCGACCAGGAGAGGGCUGGUGUGGCCAGGCUGAAGGAGGAGCAUGCCGUGGAGCUCUCCGGCACCGUCAGCCGAGAGCGGAAGAAGGCUGUUCGGGAGUUCAUCUCCUCCGAUCAGUUCGAGAUGGACAUCGCCCUCCUCAACCAGCCCAUCCUCCAGGUUGGCUCUACGCGGGCCCUGACCCAGGUGCAGGGCCUCAACCUACCCGGCUUCGACGUGGCGGACUUCAAGGACUACGAUCCUGCGGCCGAGGAUAGGCUGGACUGGCUCUUUGAUGGGUACCGGAAGGGGCAUGCCCUGAAGAGCCUGGUCCGCCGAACCGACGUAGGAGCAGACCUAGAGGAGGUUCCCUUGGAGGAGGACGGGUCUCCAGGCAGAGCUGCCGGGAAAGAGCCGGUGGCCUAGGGCGGUAGCCACUCCAGAAACCCUUUGUCUUUUUGUACGGAUGUGACCAUGCUCCAGUUGAAAAUGCUCUUGGAGGUCCACCCAGGACGGAAGGGGUUUCCUGCUUCCGGGCUCCUGAAUAGCCUUCACCAUACGCCUCUCAACAUGCUUAAGGUGUACUUUCAUCUUCCACCCCGGUCGGGACACCAGCAGGCAGAACAGACAUCAAAGGAGAUUACCAGCUCGGAAAUUUUACGGUAGAUAGUCAGGGCGCUUUGUAAUAGAUAGGCAGCUCGGAAGCUUUGUAAUAGAUAGGCUUGCAAUGUAUACACAAGAUUUCCCAGGAUUAUUUCCUUCUUCCCUCGCCCACUCGCAAUGCUAUGUGCCGACCUCCGGGGUCGAACACCUCACACCUCACCCCUUGGGGCUGAGUGCUUUAAAUGUUAAGCGCGUCCUUGCCGACCUCCCAGGUCGAACACUUCACUCCUCAUUAAGCGCGUUCGAGCCGACCUCCCAGGUCGAACACUUCACUCCUCAUUAAGCGCGUUCGAGCCGACCUCCCAGGUCGAACACUUCACUCCUCAUUAAGCGCGUUCGAGCCGACCUCCUGGGUCGAACACUUCACACUUCAUUAAGCGCGUUACCUCCUGGGUCGAACACUUCACACUUCAUUAAGCGCGUUCGUGCCGACCUCCUGGGUCGAACACUUCACACUUCAUCCACUACCCCUAGCCCCCCACUAGGACGUUGAGCGAGGGAAUGCUGAAUGUGCUAGUGUAAGGUGCAGGUUUGAAAAUUGUAAAAUGAAACAAGUACAAGUGAAAAUUAAAACGAGCUGUAAUUUGAAUGGAAAAACAAAAAUUCAGAUUCCAGAGUACAGGCCAUUGAACAUCCUGGUUUAACCUACGCCACAAACAACCGCAAAUUGGAGAAGUGCCAAGUCCGGGGUACUUCAGAUCCAUCCAUCUUAGCGAGCUUGCAAUAGCCAGCUUGGCUCGCCUCAAGGACCUUGUAGGGGCCCUCCCACUUUGGGUCGAGCUUGUUGGAGCCGUGUACUCGGCUUAUCGAGUUCCUCCUCAGGACGAGGUCUCCUGGCUGGUAUUGUAUAGUCUUUACUUUGGCGUUGUGAUAGCGAGCGAGCUGGCUUUUGUACUUAGCCAUUCGGAUAGCCGCUUCCUCCCGCCUGACUUCGAGCAUGUCCAAGUUGUACCUAAGCUCUUCCUCGUUGGGUGUUGCCACGAAGUUCUGCGUUCUGGGUGAGGGAAGACCAACCUCUGCGGGCACCACAGCCUCUGCUCCGUAUGUUAGGGAGAACGGGGUCUCGUGAGUAGCCGUCCUGGGCGUAGUGCGGUAAGCCCAGAGGACACUGGGGAGCUCAUCCAGCCAGCUUGAUUGGGCGGACUCCAGUCUAGUCUUCAACCCUUGCAGGACAGUUCGUUAGCGUUCUCCACCUGGCCAUUGGCCUGGGGGUGACCAACCGACGUGAAGUGCUGGAUGAUUCCGAGCUCGGCGCACCAGCUCCGGAAAGGGUUCUCGGCAAACUGGCGGCCGUUGUCAGAUAUCAGGACAUGCGGAAUCCCAAACCGGCAAACUAUGUUCUUCCAAAAGAAUUUCUGGAUCGCCCUCCCCGAGAUAGAGACCAGGGGCUCCGCUUCCACCCACUUCGUGAAGUAGUCUAUGGCUACCACGAGAUGCUCAUAUCUUCCCGGGGCUCGGGGAAAGGGGCCUAGGAGGUCUAUCCCCCAUUGGGCGAAGGGCCAAGGACUGUGGAUGGGGACCAUCUCCCGAGCUGGCUGAUGGCGCAGCGAAGCGUGCACCUGGCAGGCUCGGCAUUUCUGGACCAGAUCCGCUGCGUCUUGGAAGACGGAGGGCCAAUAGUAGCCCAGAAGGAGGCACUUCUUAGCCAGCAUUCGGGACCCCACAUGGGCCGCACAUAUUCCUUCGUGGACUUCGCGCAAGACGUAAUCACCUUCUUCGGGUGUGACGCACUUUAGCCAGGGGAACAGGUACGACCUCCUAUAGAGGGUUCCCCCGGCGUAGGCGUACUUGGCAGCUCGGAGCUGGAUGCGUCGGGCCUCGGCUUUGUUUUCGGGGAGGUCACCCGAGCUGAGGAAAUCCACGAGGGGCGUCAUCCAGGUGGCCGAGCUGUCUAUGGCCAGGACCUGGACCUGAUCGAUACUUUCCUGCUUUAGCACCUCCACCAAUACCUCCUUGCCGAGGUGGGCAAAUGAGGAGGACGCCAACUUUGAAAGGGCGUCUGCCCGCUUGUUCUGGGACCUUGGCACCCGCUCGGUUUCGAACGUUUCGAACAAAGCCACCGCUUCACGUACUUUGGCCAGGUACUUCUUCAUAACCUCGUCCUUGGCUUCGUACUCCCCAAGGACUUGGAGGACGACGAGCUGUAAGUCGCUCCUGACCUGGAUCGCGGUUAUCCCCAUCUGGUGGGCUAUCCGCAAUCCUGUGAGCAGGGCCUCGUACUC